AUACAAACAGUGAGAAGGAAUAGUAGAAAGAACCAUGUUUUAGAGAGCGUAUGGUUGGUGAAAAUACGUACAGAAGCUUUUGAACUCGCCUUUGAGUUAUUUUACUGAAUGAGUAAUAGAUGAUGAUUCGAUAAUUAUCCCUACUUUACUAAGUAAGAUCGGUGGUGGCCGUUACAGCACUGAGGCUUGUAAUUAUACAAGUAAAAUUAGGUGGUACCACGUUGUUGAUCACACGUCCUAUAG
rnacentral:ncRNA from 1 species